GACGAACGCUGGCGGCGUGCCUAAUACAUGCAAGUAGAGCGCACAGUUUAUACCGUAGCUUGCUACACCAUAGACUGUGAGUUGCGAACGGGUGAGUAACGCGUAGGUAACCUGCCUGGUAGCGGGGGAUAACUAUUGGAAACGAUAGCUAAUACCGCAUAAUAUUAAUUAUUGCAUGAUAAUUAAUUGAAAGGUGCAAUUGCACCACUACCAGAUGGACCUGCGUUGUAUUAGCUAGUAGGUGAGGUAACGGCUCACCUAGGCGACGAUACAUAGCCGACCUGAGAGGGUGAUCGGCCACACUGGGACUGAGACACGGCCCAGACUCCUACGGGAGGCAGCAGUAGGGAAUCUUCGGCAAUGGACGAAAGUCUGACCGAGCAACGCCGCGUGAGUGAAGAAGGUUUUCGGAUCGUAGAGCUCUGUUGUAAGAGAAGAACGGGUGUGAGAGUGGAAAGUUCACACUGUGACGGUAUCUUACCAGAAAGGGACGGCUAACUACGUG
rnacentral:rRNA from 1 species